rnacentral:rRNA from 1 species
GACGAACGCUGGCGGCGUGCUUAACACAUGCAAGUCGAACGGAAAGGCCCUGCUUUUGUGGGGUGCUCGAGUGGCGAGCGGGUGAGUAACACGUGAGUAACCUGCCCUUGACUUUGGGAUAACUUCAGGAAACUGGGGCUAAUACCGGAUAGGAGCUCCUGCUGCAUGGUGGGGGUUGGAAAGUUUCGGCGGUUGGGGAUGGACUCGCGGCUUAUCAGCUUGUUGGUGGGGUAGUGGCUUACCAAGGCUUUGACGGGUAGCCGGCCUGAGAGGGUGACCGGCCACAUUGGGACUGAGAUACGGCCCAGACUCCUACGGGAGGCAGCGGUGGGGAAUAGUGCACAGUGGGCGGGAGCCUGAUGCAGCAACGCCGCGUGCGGGAUGACGGCCUUCGGGUUGUAAACCGCUUUCGCCUGUGACGAAGCGUGAGUGACGGUAAUGGGUAAAGAAGCACCGGCUAACUACGUG